rnacentral:rRNA from 1 species
GAUCGCACUCUCUGGAAACAGAGGGGUCAGUUCGGCUGGAUCGGUGACAGGUGCUGCAUGGCUGUCGUCAGCUCGUGUCGUGAGAUGUUGGGUUAAGUCCCGCAACGAGCGCAACCCUCGUCCUUAGUUGCCAGCAUUAAGUUGGGCACUCUAAGGAGACUGCCGGUGUUAAACCGGAGGAAGGCGGGGAUGACGUCAAGUCCUCAUGGCCCUUAUGUCCAGGGCUACACACGUGCUACAAUGGCCGGUACAAAGGGUAGCAAGACCGCGAGGUGGAGCCAAUCCCAAAAAGCCGGUCUCAGUUCGGAUUGGAGUCUGCAACUCGACUCCAUGAAGUUGGAAUCGCUAGUAAUCGUGGAUCAGCAUGUCACGGUGAAUACGUUCCCGGGUCUU